AUCCGACAAGCAUAGUUCAUUCGGCAGUUGACUAGUGAACAGCAAGUAGUCCCGGAAAAAGGCGCCCUCGAGAAGAGGCAGCUCCUCUCGAGGGAUGCUGGGCAGUUAGUUUGGAAUUGUUUCCAAACAAAAAACAACGAAGAAGUAUUUUGAAAAACCAAAGUGAUACGAAACCAAGUGGUUGUUGUGUGGUGAUCGAACAAGUGGCGGAAUAAAUCAAUGAGUCAUUGACAGUGUGAGAUUCCAAGGGACACCAAUCAUCGAUAAACAUGUGGGCCAUUGUGUGCGUUUGGAGGAAAUGAAACAUCAACGGGUGCUUGAGUGGAACACAUUGAUUGAUAACGAGACAGAGGCCUUACCUACGCCGGCAAAGGACUCGUGUGGUGGGAGCUCUUCGAAAAGAGGGCUCGAAGGCCGGGUAAUCCGCCGAUCCGAAGGAUCGCUUUCAAGCAUCAUAUUGAAGGGAUGAUUGACGUGACUUCGGGUUGUUUUUUUUUCUGGAUCCGGCAUCGAGAAGCCUCUGGGGAAGCAGCUCCAGCAGCAGCAGUUCAAGAAUGCGCCCAAAAAGGGGGGCCUCCUCCAGGCCAAGCCAAGGGAUGGUAAACUUCCUCCUUCCGUGGAACACACGGCAACGUACGACACUACGACACCACUCUCCGACUGUGGACAGCUCCGGAACGCUCUGUCCUCGCGGGGUAGUGGAAAUAGGAUGUGUAGGUGAACCUGAAGAAUCUUCUCUGCAUAACUCACAACCAACCUCCGGCAAUGGACACCGAUGGGGGGAGGGAGGGCGCAAUGCACCGCAAGGUGCCAACUCAGCAGUUAGAACCAAGACAGCCACAGCCACCCACCCCAAAGGUGAUAGAUCAAACCAUGUCGAACAAAAGGGUUAAUCUGUUCCGACGUUUUCCGACGUUCGUUAUCGUGUGUGUGGAAUCUCGGAACCUUCAAGAGCGGCGGGAAAGCGAACGAUUUCUGCAUCGUAAUCGUUUUCGUUUUUAUGUUAUGAGAUCCGGAUUGUUGUAGCCCCUGGUGUGGUGCUGCUUCUGCCAACUCGUUCCCGAAGAAGCUAUGUGAAGAUAUGGCAUCAACCAGCAGCAGCAGGAAUACGUGAAAUGUCAGCAACAGUUCAAUUUACUGCCAUCAAGCUGGUGGCUGCAGUCCGUUUCCGCACCCGGCAGAACUGCAGCACUCCGCACACAAAAUGUUCCCAUCCGAAGCGAGCGCCAACAGAACCAACAAAAAAUAGCUGAGAAAUCGAACAACGGAAUCCUAUAUUUCAAUCCUGAUUUCCGCCGAAUCGGUGCAGUUCAAACAAAAAGAACCUGGAAGAGAAACAGCUCGACACAGAAAAAAGGACGUUUGUACGUGUUUUGCUGAGCUUCGGAAGAAUCCUCGCUAUCAGCGAACAGUUUUUCGACGUUUUUCAAUUUCCAACCAUAAAUUGUUCAUUUUUUUCCAAUUCAUUAUGGCGAGUGGCUUUUCGGUACGGAUUGUGGUUUGUUUUAGCUUUAGUGAGUUUAAAUUUUUGUUCUAUUACGCUGAACUUUUCCAGCUGACCAAAAUAGGUUAAGUUUUCAAUCUUUUUCUCUUUUGUUAGGUUAAACAUUGAACAGAUGACUUCUUCUCUGUGUUUUGAUUAGAUUAAGGUUUUUACUGAGUGCCUUUUAACUUUAUUAUUUGUUUUUUCUCGUUUCUAUGCUCCCAAGACGUCACCACCAACAACGCGCCCAGAAAAGUACAUCCACUGACAGCUAAAACGUUUGCCCCAUCCCUGUUUUCGUUUCAAAUGUUGUCUGUUGAACCUGGAGUUCUUGAUUGUUGUUACUGUUAUCUGUUAUGCCUACCUGUUUUUUUUUGUUCCAUGAUUCCCGUUAUCUGUGCAUUUGUUAAUCGUUAACCCGUUAUCCGUUAUCCGCACUAGUAUUGCAUGUUCUUGUUUCUGUUUGCUUUGUUUUUGUUCUCUUCUGUUAAAAGUUACCCGUACCUUGUUCCCUGUUAACUUAUGUUAAUUGUUACCUUGUUAUCCACACUUCAGUUACUUGUUUUAAUUUUUGUUCCCAUUGUUUGUUUUGUUCUCAUCUGUUUAUAGUUUCCAACAGUUAGAGCACGCAACUGAUUCGAUUCGAUGUUUUAUUCGUUAUUCUUGUUUUUGUUUGGAAAAUGUCAAAAUUCCUUCGAUACUCGCUCGAACCGCCUGUUACCUGUUACGGUUCCAACGGGCAUCGAACCGAUUUUGAACAUUCGAAACAGUUGCGUCCCCUAACGACGUGUGAACUCUGUUGGGUUUUUGUUUUACUUCUUGUUUUGUUACGUUUCAUUCAUUUCUUUGCUACUAAAUUUCUUCUGUUUACAUUCGUUUUCUUUGUUGGAAUAUCUGUGACUUGUUAGCUAUUUGAAUUCUGCCAUUACGAAGAUUUUUCUCCUGUUAUCCUUCUCCGUAUGACAACUUCAAAUUAAUCUGUUUCUGUUUCCCGUUACAUUUGCGUUACGUUUGCUGUUACGUUUCACCCCCCUAUUCACUGUUUCUGUUCUGUUUCCAUUAAGUUUUCGUUAAAAAAAAAUCAUUAAGUUUGCAUGUUCUUGUUACAAUUAACAAACGAGGCAUCGUUUGACAGCUGUCAGUGAAAUCGCGAUAUGGUGACGUUCGCAUGCAUUUUUUUCAUCUUUCAAGUGUGUAUUAUAUUUAACAAAAUGUCUGGAAUGCACCUUAUAUACGUAUGUCGGUGACCAGUUUCGCCACGGUGACAUUGACAAUAAUUGUAUACUAGACUAUAAGACUUUUUUUUCAAACCCAACCCCCCAAAUAAUGUUCGCUCUUUUUCCCUAAGAAUAGUUGUUUGUUGAUGUAACCGUAUCGAACGGAAAGCCACUCUCCAAUGAACUUUUCUCGUUAAACCAAACAAAUCGAAAACAAAACGUGGAAAAGAGAACUUUUCCACUCUGCUGCUGCAACCGUGUGACAAAAGAUUAAGUUUAGAUUAAACUAUUUCCACCGCCCUGCGGUUGCACCGAAAACAACAAGGCGAAACUAUCGCGCAAAAACCAUUUCUCGAAAAUAAGCUCUCUCUGAAACUUCCCGUCUACAUCAACGGUAAUCACGACGCCACUGGUUUCGAAACAAAAAGCUGAAAUAUCCACCGCAGGUAGAUAUCAAAAAAGUUGUUAUUUGUUACUGUUAACCCUUGUUAUCUGUUAUUCAUUUGUUAAACGUUGUUACCCUGUUACUGCUCUGUAUUGUUAUCUAGUUCAUAAGAACGUGGAGGAAAAAAAAGUGAGGCACGCAAAAAAAAUGUUGUUAACUAGCUGUCGUAAGUGUUACAGAUUGUUUACACUCCACUGUUAAUUUGUUUGUAAUUCAUGCUUUGAAUGGGACAUGAAUGAGUGGAAGCGCGUGACUUUUGUUAUUUGUUAACUGUUAUCAAUUCAAUGUUCUUUAUGUUGAGGUUAUGUUUGUAUUAUGAAAAGUUGUUAGGAACCCGUUCGUUCAGGUAUCGCUCUGUUUGUUACCAAAGUUUGUUAGUUAUCUGAAACAAUUGUUAUGUUGUAUUCUGUCACAAUAUCAAUCAGUUAAAAAAAAUAACCGGUUACAAGUAUUUCAAAGAAAAAAAAACCAUUUUCCAUUUUCCAUAUCCAAUUUUCCAUUUCCAUUUUUACUAGGCUAGGGUUUUAGAACAUAUAAACUUUAACAUUCCAUUUAUUAGAUUUUCGGUAUUUAGGGUAACGAGUAUUCCAAAUUUCAGAACAAAUGUUCACAUAGGAGUUUAGAAAUAGUUUAAACUACCAGACCUAUUCUUAUAAUCUUUUCAUUGUAUAAGAUAAUCGUAAACAUUAAGCUUCAGUAAUUGUAACAAUUUAGCAAAUAAGUUUGAGUGUUCGUGUGAAUUUGAAUAAAGCAUUUCUAAAUAAGCCACUAAA